rnacentral:rRNA from 1 species
UACGAAGGGGGCUAGCGUUGCUCGGAAUCACUGGGCGUAAAGGGCGCGUAGGCGGCCAGCACGAGUCAGUUGUGAAAUCUCCGGGCUUAACUCGGAAAGGUCAACUGAUACUGUGCGGCUAGAGUGCAGAAGGGGCAACUGGAAUUCUCGGUGUAGCGGUGAAAUGCGUAGAUAUCGAGAGGAACACCUGCGGCGAAGGCGGAUCUCUGGGCCAUUACUGACGCUGAGGAGCGAAAGCGUGGGGAGCGAACAGG